CUUAACAGCUACUUCCCCAGUUGCCUCUCUAACCGACCAGCCAAACCAGCUCCUCAGGACAUCCCUCUCCCUCCUUCCUUCCUCAGUCAUCCAUCCAGCCCAACGGCCCCUCCCAGCCCUGCUACCACCCCUCCUCAGAGCCUCCUCCUUUGCAGAGAAGCCCUAUUUGCACGCAUAUGUGUGUGCACACGCAUGCACACACGCACCCCUUUGGAAGCCAUGUAGCGCGAUCCACUUAUAUCUUCUCGUGCUACAUGAGCUGUGCGGCGGGAGCCUGCGUCAACUCCAUCCCUCCCAAGGAUUUCUGUGCCGGGGUUGUCUGAGCCGGGAGAACGGCAGCGAGGCAGGAACACCGCCAGGGGAAGGAGCAUCGCUUCAGGAAGGAGGUGCGAUCCCUGGGUGGUGCUGCUGGAGCGGCAGACCUGUGCGGGAUCCGGCAAGGGGGAAGUCGUGGGGACCUUGACGAAGGGCUUCGGAGGAGCGGCAGGUACCAAAGCCUGGCCGAAGCACGUCCCGCGUGCCGGGGGGGAGGACGGGAGGAGCGAGAGCGGUGGCAGCACGUGCGCACAACCCCGUCAUGCGCGCGGAUGGAGAAAGAAGGUGAGGGGCUGGCGCUGGGAGACGUUUCUUAGCAUGAGAUCCGACCGUCUGUCGGUUUAAUGGUGGGAAUCAUCCAGCUUGGAAGGAAAGGGGUAAGAGUGGGAGCACAGUCUUCAAAAGUGGGGGUGCGAGGGACGGGGCGGGAAGGUAGACGCACAGGAGCACGGGGUUAUCGCUGUAACAGAGGAAGGUGGCGAGAGCGCCAGCACGGGGCAAACAGGUCAGGUAGUGGGGCCCUUAAAGUUCUCCUUUUAAUUCCUUUUAUUUUCUCUGGGCAAUAGGAAGCCAAACAUUAGCUGAGAGGGCCAAGGUGUUGAAGGCUUGAGGAGGUGUUAGAUAGCCAUCCUGGAGAGCAGAAGAGCAACCUGAGUAGGAAAACGCAGGAGACUACGGACCAGCACCAAAACCCUUCGUGGCGUUGCAAGGAGAAGUCCGCGCGGUGCGGUUUCGCUCCAGCCGCACGAGGCACCACGGAGGCACCACGGGCGUAUUCGUGGGGCGGCGGGGGCGUGGCCUCACCCGUGGCUGGGAGCUGCCCGGGGCCGACUGAGGGGAGAAUGCGGGCGGGAGUGGUCACUGCAUGGCGCGAGUUCAGCGUCUCUCUGGGAAGUUCACCUUUACAGAAUGAACACUUUGCUACUUCUGAUGCCAGUCCCACACUCUUUUCUGGGUGCCUAUUUUGUCUUCCCCAACUCUGGCCUUUUGAAUGGGAUGCCUUACCUGCCACUUGCCCCAACCUCUGGCAAUGGCGGCCCCCUCCUACUUUCUGCCGCUCCUGGUCCAGCCACAGCUAUUGCUCCUGUGUCAAGCACCUGAGCCCCGCCCUGACAUUCCCAGCACUGAGCCUGGCUGGGACCUGAACAGGAUCCAGCGUGGCUCCGCCUGACCUCAGUUUUGCUUAACCGGGAAGCGGGAGCUGCAGAAAACUGUCUCCUCUGAAGAGUUUUUUCCAACAAACUGGAUUAUCAGCCAUGGAUAAGAUGUGAG